CACCAGGUCAGCAACGCUACUCUGUUUACCAGGUCAGGUCCGGAAGGAAGCAGCCAGAGCAGACGACGUGUGUGCCGGGAUGUAGCUGGCAGGG
rnacentral:SRP_RNA from 1 species